rnacentral:ncRNA from 1 species
GUGAACGAGGAAUUCCCAGUAAGCGCAAGUCAUCAGCUUGCGUUGAUUACGUCCCUGCCCUUUGUACACACCGCCCGUCGCUACUACCGAUUGAAUGGUUUAGCAAGGUCCUCGGAUUGGUGCCGACUUGGUGGCAACACUAGGUCGGAUACUGAAAAGAAGAUCAAACUUGAUCAUUUAGAGGAAGUAAAAGUCGUAACAAGGUUUCCGUAGGUGAACCUGCGGAAGGAUCAUUA